UACGGAGGAUCCAAGCGUUAUCCGGAUUUAUUGGGUUUAAAGGGUGCGUAGGCGGCUUGUUAAGUCAGGGGUGAAAGACGAUGGCUCAACCAUCGCAGUGCCUUUGAUACUGACGAGCUUGAAUGUACUUGAGGUAGGCGGAAUGUGACAAGUAGCGGUGAAAUGCAUAGAUAUGCCACAGAACACCGAUUGCGAAGGCAGCUUACUAAAGUAUGAUUGACGCGGAGGCACGAAAGCGUGGGGAUCAAACAGGAUUAGAUACCCUGGUAGUCCACGCCCUAAACGAUGACUACGCGAUGUUGGCGAUAUACAGUCAGCGUCCAAGCGAAAGCGUUAAGUAUUCCACCUGGGGAGUACGGCCGCAAGGUUGAA
rnacentral:rRNA from 1 species